rnacentral:rRNA from 1 species
GAUGAACGCUGGCGGCGUGCCUAAUACAUGCAAGUCGAGCGAACGGACGAGAAGCUUGCUUUUCUGAUGUUAGCGGCGGACGGGUGAGUAACACGUGGAUAACCUACCUAUAAGACUGGGAUAACUUCGGGAAACCGGAGCUAAUACCGGAUAAUAUUUUGAACCGCAUGGUUCAAAAGUGAAAGACGGUCUUGCUGUCACUUAUAGAUGGAUCCGCGCUGCAUUAGCUAGUUGGUAAGGUAACGGCUUACCAAGGCAACGAUGCAUAGCCGACCUGAGGGGGUGAUCGGCCACACUGGAACUGAGACACGGUCCAGACUCCUACGGGAGGCAGCAGUAGGGAAUCUUCCGCAAUGGGCGAAAGCCUGACGGAGCAACGCCGCGUGAGUGAUGAAGGUCUUCGGAUCGUAAAACUCUGUUAUUAGGGAAGAACAUAUGUGUAAGUAACUGUGCACAUCUUGACGGUACCUAAUCAGAAGGCCACGGCUAACUACGUG